GAUGCAUCUACAAUAUGAGAGACGGGGGAGAAGGGAAGUGAGCUAUUAGCGAAAUCAGAGCACAGAGCAGCACAUCAUCAAUCACACACACACACACACGCACACACAUAUGCACCUGUAUUACACACAAGCACACACACACACACGCACACACACAUCGGCUGACAGUUGGCAGCAUAUCGAAUUUCAAAUGCGCACAGCAUAAGGCACGGCAGCAGGAGCAGCAUUCGACGAUAUUACCAAUGCCGCCCCGUUCCGCAUUUGACAUCAACGGGUCGUCAUCAUCAACAAUCGUGUUGGUCGAGAGCGACUGUGUCACCCAGUGUAUAACGCCCAGGGUGCGUGCCACCCGACAAAUUGAAACAAAUCAAAUUCCUUUUUGGUGAUAUCAGAGCAAAGUUGACACAAAAUUUAAGAGGUACUUUCUAUACAAUUGAAUAUCUGAUAUAAGCUUUGAUAAUUUUAUUCAACACAGGUUGCUUAAAAUAAAAGUUGCCUGUCUAUAAAAAAAUAAUGUCUCAAUAAAAUACUGUAUCUGAUAUA